UUGUAGAAAUUGGAUUGAACUGUCCUUUUUCGGUUAUCACGGUACCGAUGCUGUAUAUGUGAAAGGUACAGUACUGUGAUAACUGAAGAAUGGUGGUGCCAUCACUUAAGAGAAAAC
rnacentral:pre_miRNA from 13 species